UACGUAGGGUGCAAGCGUUAAUCGGAAUUACUGGGCGUAAAGCGUGCGCAGGCGGUUGUGCAAGACAGAUGUGAAAUCCCCGGGCUCAACCUGGGAACUGCAUUUGUGACUGCACGGCUGGAGUGCGGCAGAGGGACGCGGAAUUCCAGGUGUAGCGGUGAAAUGCGUAGAUAUCUGGAGGAACACCGGUGGCGAAGGCGGCGUCCUGGACCAACACUGACACUGAGGAGCGAAAGCCAGGGGAGCAAACGGG
rnacentral:rRNA from 1 species